GCUACCAUGCAGUCGAGCGGAGACAGGAGCAGCUUGCUCUCUGGGUGGCGAGUGGGGGACGGGUGGCGUAUACAUCUGACUCUACUCUGUCGUGGGGGAUUCGUAGGGAAACUUACACUAAUACCGCCUACCACCUACGGGUGAGAGCCCGUCACCUUCUGCCCUUGCGCAAUUGCCUGAGCCGAAGUCGGAUUAUCUAGUUGGCGGGGUUCAGGCCCGCCACGGCCACUAUCCGGACCUGGACUGAGAGGAUGAUCACCCACACUGAAACUGAGACCCGACCCCUACUCCUACGGGAGGCGGCAGUGAUUAAUAUUGGACAAUGGGCCCGAUCCUGACCCGCCCAUACCGCGUGGAUGAACAACGCCUUCGGGUUGUAUUUCCCUUUUGAUGAAAAAGAAAUCCAGCUGGCUAUGACCCGGUUGGGAUGACGGUACCCAAAGAAUAAGCACCGGCUAACUUCGUGCCCGCAGCCGCACUAAUACGAAGGGUGCAAGCGUUACUCACAGUUACUGGGCGUAAAGCGUGCGUAGGUGGUCGUUUAAUUCCGUUGUGAAAGCCCUGGGCUCAACCUGGCAACUGCAACGGAUACUGGGCGACUAGAAUGAGGUAGAUGGAAUUUCAUGUCCUGGUGUAACAUGGAUAUGCAUAGAAAUCAACACGAACAUCCAUGGCGAACGCCUGUACCUGAUACUGAGCGAAACGAAAGCGUGGAGAGCAAACAGGAUUACAGAUCCUGGUAGUCGACGCCCAAGUCGAUGCGAACUGGAUGUCCUUGCAUUUUGGCACGCAAUAUCAAAGCUAACGCUUUACGUUCGCCGCCUGCGGACUACAGGGCUCAAGACUGAAUCUCAUGGAAUUGACCCGCGCCCGACACUAGAU
rnacentral:rRNA from 1 species